rnacentral:rRNA from 1 species
GACGAACGUUGGCGGCGUGCUUAAUACAUGCAAGUCAACUGAAGCAGUGGUAGCAAUAUCGCUGUGGAGGUGGCGCACGGGUGAGUAACACGUAGGUAAUCUGCCUUCAGGUCUGGCAUAACUCCGGGAAACCGGGGCUAAUAGCAGAUGAUGCAGCGGCUUGACAUCGAGACAGUUGUUAAAGCUAUGGCGCCUGAAGAUGAGCCUGCGUCUGAUUAGCUAGUUGGCGGGGUAACGGCCCACCAAGGCAACGAUCAGUAGCUGGUCUGAGAGGAUGAUCAGCCACACUGGAACUGAGACACGGUCCAGACUCCUACGGGAGGCAGCAGUAAGGAAUAUUGCUCAAUGGGAGAAAUCCUGAAGCAGCAACGCCGCGUGAGGGACGAAGGGCUUUUGCUUGUAAACCUCUGUAGUGAGAGAAAAAAAUCCCAAUCUUUGGGACAUGAUGGUAUCUCAAAAGUAAGCCCCGGCUAACUACGUG